AACGUAGGCCGCAAACGUUAUCCGGAGCUACUGGGCGUAAAGCGCGUGCAAGCGGACGAGCAAGUUUUCUGUGAAAGCUCCCGGCUGAACUGGGAGAGGUCGGAAGAGACUGCUGGUAUGGAGGGUGGUAGAGGAGCGUGGAAUUCCGCGUGUAGUGGUGAAAUGCGUAGAGAUGCGGAGGAACACCAGUGGCGAAGGCGGCGCUCUUGGCCACACCUGACGCUGAGGCGCGAAAGCAUGAGGACCGAACGGG
rnacentral:rRNA from 1 species